AGCGAACGCUGGCGGCAGGCUUAACACAUGCAAGUCGAACGGGCGUAGCAAUACGUCAGUGGCAGACGGGUGAGUAACGCGUGGGAACGUACCUUUUGGUUCGGAACAACCCAGGGAAACUUGGGCUAAUACCGGAUAAGCCCUUACGGGGAAAGAUUUAUCGCCGAAAGAUCGGCCCGCGUCUGAUUAGCUAGUUGGUGUGGUAACGGCGCACCAAGGCGACGAUCAGUAGCUGGUCUGAGAGGAUGAUCAGCCACAUUGGGACUGAGACACGGCCCAAACUCCUACGGGAGGCAGCAGUGGGGAAUAUUGGACAAUGGGCGCAAGCCUGAUCCAGCCAUGCCGCGUGAGUGAUGAAGGCCCUAGGGUUGUAAAGCUUCUUUUGUGCGGGAAGAUAAUGACGGUACCGCAAGAAUAAGCCCCGGCUAACUUCGUGCCAGCAGCA
rnacentral:rRNA from 1 species